GCGUGCUUAACACAUGCAAGUCGAACGAUGAACCCCGCUUGCGGGGGGAUUAGUGGCGAACGGGUGAGUAACACGUGAGUAACCUGCCCUUAACUCUGGGAUAAGCCUUGGAAACGGGGUCUAAUACUGGAUAUUGACUUUUCCUCGCAUGGGGAUUGGUUGAAAGAUUUAUUGGUUUUGGAUGGACUCGCGGCCUAUCAGCUUGUUGGUGAGGUAAUGGCUCACCAAGGCGACGACGGGUAGCCGGCCUGAGAGGGUGACCGGCCACACUGGGACUGAGACACGGCCCAGACUCCUACGGGAGGCAGCAGUGGGGAAUAUUGCACAAUGGGCGAAAGCCUGAUGCAGCGACGCCGCGUGAGGGAUGACGGCCUUCGGGUUGUAAACCUCUUUCAGUAGGGAACAAGGCCAGUGUUUAGCUGGUUGAGGGUACUUGCAGAAGAAGCGCCGGCUAACUACGUGCCAGCAGCCGCGGUAAUACGUAGGGCGCAAGCGUUAUCCGGAAUUAUUGGGCGUAAAGAGCUCGUAGGCGGUUUGUCGCGUCUGCCGUGAAAGUCCGGGGCUCAACCCCGGAUCUGCGGUGGGUACGGGCAGACUAGAGUGAUGUAGGGGAGACUGGAAUUCCUGGUGUAGCGGUGAAAUGCGCAGAUAUCAGGAGGAACACCGAUGGCGAAGGCAGGUCUCUGGGCAUUAACUGACGCUGAGGAGCGAAAGCAUGGGGAGCGAACAGGAUUAGAUACCCUGGUAGUCCAUGCCGUAAACG
rnacentral:rRNA from 1 species